CAGCAGCCGCGGGAAUACGAAGGGUGCAAGCGUUAAUCGGAAUUACUGGGCGUAAAGCGUGCGUAGGCGGUGAGUUAAGUCUGCUGUGAAAUCCCCGGGCUUAACCUGGGAGCUGCAUUUGUGACUGGCGGGCUAGAGUAUGGCAGAGGGGGGUAGAAUUCCACGUGUAGCAGUGAAAUGCGUAGAGAUGUGGAGGAAUACCGAUGGCGAAGGCAGCCCCCUGGGCCAAUACUGACGCUCAUGCACGAAAGCGUGGGGAGCAAACAGGAUUAGAUACCCCCGUAGUCCCUGUCUCUUAUAC
rnacentral:rRNA from 1 species